CGGGGCGUGGCGCAGUUGAUAGCGCGCGAAGUUUGGGACUUCGAUGCCGCAGGUUUGAGUCCUGUCGCCCCGACCA
rnacentral:tRNA from 1 species